ensembl:snRNA U6 U6 spliceosomal RNA
GUGCUUGCUUUGGCAGCACAUAUUCUAAAACUGGAAAGAUACAGAGAAGAUUAGCAUGGCUCCCACUCAAGGAUGACAUGAAAGUUCGUGAAGCAUUCCAUAUUAUU